AUUGCAGUCUGCAACUCGAGUGCAUGAAGCUGGAAUCGCUAGUAAUCGCGGAUCAGAAUGCCGCGGUGAAUACGUUCCCGGGUCUUGUACACACCGCCCGUCACACCAUGGGAGUCGGGAAUGCCCGAAGCCGGUGGCCCGAUCGAGAGAAGGGAGCCGUCGAAGGCAGGCCGGAUGACUGGGGUGAAGUCGUAACAAGGUAAC
rnacentral:rRNA from 1 species